rnacentral:rRNA from 1 species
AGUGAACGCUGGCGGCAGGCCUAACACAUGCAAGUCGAGCGGCAGCGGGUCCUUCGGGAUGCCGGCGAGCGGCGGACGGGUGAGGAAUGCAUCGGAAUCUGCCCUGUCGUGGGGGAUAACCUAGGGAAACUUAGGCUAAUACCGCAUACGACCCACGGGUGAAAGCGGGGGAUCGCAAGACCUCGCGCGAUAGGAUGAGCCGAUGUCCGAUUAGCGAGUUGGCGGGGUAAAGGCCCACCAAGGCGACGAUCGGUAGCUGGUCUGAGAGGAUGAUCAGCCACACUGGGACUGAGACACGGCCCAGACUCCUACGGGAGGCAGCAGUGGGGAAUAUUGGACAAUGGGCGCAAGCCUGAUCCAGCCAUGCCGCGUGGGUGAAGAAGGCCUUCGGGUUGUAAAGCCCUUUUGUCCGGGAAGAAAUCGUCUGGGCUAAUACCCCGGGCGGAUGACGGUACCGGAAGAAUAAGCACCGGCUAACUUCGUG